CAUUGUGAGACUGGUGAAGGGCCUGCCAGAUUCUAUAACUGCAUUGUGAAGCAGACUAUCUGGGGAAAUCACUCCAUUUCAGAGAAAGGAGAUACUUGUUUUGCUUUCUUUUUUUGGCUUUUGCUGCCUUUCUUUUCUUCUCUCAUAUUGGGUGUAAAAGUGAAUUCUUGAAAGUUUUCUAGGAAAAGAGAACACUCAAGAGAACAUUAAAAAGAUCUCGACUUCAGGGUCGUGGACCUUACUCGCAGAGAUGGCAAUCCCAAUUGCCAGACUGCCGUUGUCAGAGAAGAGCUGGGCCAGGGAGGUGUUCAGUACCAGGCAAUCCCCAUCAGUGAUGAUGGAGUCCACACACUCCAGGACCGAUCUGGGGGUGGCCUCCCACUUCAGGCGCCUUUGGUUCCUGUUGAGCUCCAGGCGGGAGGAGAGAAGGAAGAAAGAAAGGAAGAGAAUUUGGAACUCAAAGGUUUGAAAACAAAUGUCAAAAUUUGUUUUUACAUGUAAUUGGAAAAAAUAAAAUCUCAAGAUUUUUUGAGAAGAAAAUUCUCACUUGAUUUUGCCUUAUUCUGACAGACCUGCCAUUCAUCCUGCUAAGAUUGCCCCAAGAUCUUCUUUUCUUUUCUUUUAAAAAUAAAAUUAUGGAAAGAUGCCUAAAGUUCUUUAAAGACUUUGGCUUUAAUUUUGUAGCAAAUUGGGGCAUAGACUUCACUGAAUUUGGGUUUUUUUUCCUUAGAAAGAUUAGUUCCUUCUUUCUGAUAGGCAAAUUCCUUUAUAUUUCCACUGAUUUUUUUUCUUACUCUUGGAAUUGAGAAAAAAUAAACUGCAGCAGUACAGUGUGAAUGCUAA